CAGCCCAUUGUCCAUAUGGUC
rnacentral:siRNA from 1 species